UACGUAGGGUGCGAGCGUUGUCCGGAAUUAUUGGGCGUAAAGGGCUCGUAGGCGGUCUGUUGCGUCGGGAGUGAAAACUCAGGGCUUAACCCUGAGCCUGCUUCCGAUACGGGCAGACUAGAGGUAUGCAGGGGAGAACGGAAUUCCUGGUGUAGCGGUGAAAUGCGCAGAUAUCAGGAGGAACACCGAUGGCGAAGGCGGGUUGCUGGGCCGACACUGACGCUGAUGCGCGAAAGCCAGGGGAGCGAACGGG
rnacentral:rRNA from 1 species